rnacentral:rRNA from 1 species
AUUGAACGCUAGCGGGAUGCCUUACACAUGCAAGUCGAACGGAGUGGCGAACGGGUGAGUAAUGUAUCGGAACGUGCCCAGUAGCGGGGGCUAACUACGCGAAAGCGUAGCUAAUACCGCAUACUAUUGGAGCGGCCGAUAUCGGAUUAGCUAGUUGGUGGGGUAACGGCUCACCAAGGCGACGAUCCGUACCUGGUUGGAGAGGACGACCAGCCACACUGGAACUGAGACACGGUCCAGACGCCUACGGGAGGCAGCAGUGGGGAAUAUUGGACAAUGGGGGAAAGCCUGAUCCAGCCAUGCCGCGUGUGUGAUGAAGGCCUUCGGGUUGUAAAGCACUUUUGGUAGGAAAGCGGUACCUGCAGAAUAAGCACCGGCUAACUACGUGCCAGCAGCCGCGGUAAUUC